AUGCGGUUUGUGAGUGGAAUUGCCAUUCUCCUGACUUUGGGUAUUGCGGGUGAUGCUAAAACUACACAGCCAGACUCAAUGGAAAGUAUUGAAGAAGAAACUGUACACUUGCCUUGUAGCCACUCCGCCAUCAGUGGGAACGAGUAUAUUUACUGGUACCGACAGGUUCCUCUUCGUGGUCCAGAAUAUGUGAUUCACGGUCUACAACAAAACACAAGCAAUAGAAUGGCCUUUCUGGUUAUUCCCUCUGACAGAAAGUCAAAUACCUUGAUCCUGCCUCGGGUCAGCCUGAGUGAUGCUGCUGUGUAUCACUGUAUCCUGAGAAAAGCACAUUGUGACAGACAGGGCUGCACCUGCGCAAUAUCUGCCUGGUGGGGGAGGGGAGCAGCGGCAUCCUCUAAAGAGGCCUCUGUGAUGGAAUGA